UAAUUUUUCGCCCCGUAAUAUAGCAAAGAUCACGAAAAGGCCAGAAAAAGUACAUUUAGGUCAAAAUUUGGAGUAGAAAAAACCCCCCCUUCCUCAUUCAUUGGAGAGCUCUCUUUGGGCUUUCCGGAAAGGUAUCACAUGCCAAGUUUGGCCUCACGGUCUAAACCUUAUAGACUCAUACAUUUUUAACAAAAAAAAGAAGAGAAAAAACGAAAAAAAGAAGGAUACAACACGAGGACUUUCCGAGAGGUUACCCAUCUUCGUACUACUCUCGCACAAGUACGCUUAACUGCGGAGUUCUGAUGGGAUCUGGUGCAUUAGUGCUGGUAUGAUCGCAUCUGUUAUUACAUGCAAUGCAAUCGUAUCUAUUCUUUUUUCAAGACUUUAUGAUCCAUUUGCCGUGGGUCCCACCAGCUACGUAGGAAUACCCUAUCUUGUUUAUAAGAGCUUUGAUACAUGCAAAAUAUUCGAAAACAAUGUCCGAACAUAUAAUUUUCGUCCCGUAAUAUAGCAAAGAUCACAAAAAGGCCAGAAAGAGUACAUUUACGUCAAAAUUUGGAUAGAAAAAAAACAAAUAGAAGAAUUCCAUUUUGACUUCCUCAUUCAUCGGAAAGCUCUCUUUGGGCUUUCCGAAAAGGUAUCACAUGCCAAGUUUGGAAUCACGGUUUAAAAGUUAUAGAGUCAUACAUUUUUAACAAAAAAUAAAGAGAAAACCC
rnacentral:sRNA from 1 species